rnacentral:misc_RNA from 1 species
ACCCUUGACCACGGUAUAGUCAGCGACUGGGGUGAAGUCGUAACAAGGUAGCCGUAGGGGAACCUGCGGCUGGAUUACCUCCUUUCUAAGGAUGAAUGAAAGUAAAAUUUCAUUCUAAAUAAUAUACAUCGGUAAUGUUGACCGUCCUCAUUUCUCUUCUUAAAGUAAUGUUUCCUUCUUGUAGGGCCGGUAGCUCAGUUGGUUAGAGCACACCCUUGAUAAGGGUGGGGUCGAAAGUUCGAGUCUUUCUCGGCCCACCACACUUAACUGGGGGAUUAGCUCAGCUGGGAGAGCGCCUGAUUUGCAUUCAGGAGGUCAGCGGUUCGAUCCCGCUAUCCUCCACCAGGAAACGUUUAGUUAUAAAAACUGUAAAUAAAUUUAAUAAUUAAUAUCAAUAUCUAUAUCCGAACAUUAGUAAUGUUAUUAGCUAAUGUUCAAAAUAAAAAUUUGAUUCAACACAGAAUUUUUUUCUGUGCAUAAAUCAAGCGUUUAAGGGCGU